GGAAACAAGCGGCUCUGUGGGAGCCCGGGCAGGGCAGGCCCGCAGGUGGGGAGAAGGGCGAAGAUGAAGAGCGGCGGGGCUCAGGCUGCCUGCCUGGGGAGGUGUCACUGGAGUCCAAAGACUGUUCCCGAUGACCCUAGUGAGCGUGCAGUCACUCUCCUUGCAUGGAGCAGGAACAAGGUCCCGCUGCUUGGGAACGCGGCACAGAGCUCACAGUGAGACAUUGCAGUGCCCCCAGAAAGCCCUCCACACCUUGCACCACCCUCAGCCUUGCCCCUUCUCUGGCACGUCCCAUCUCGCUCCCAAAGAGCUUCCCAGUCAGGAGUGAAUCAGUCUUCACCGCUCCCCAGAGAAGGCUUAGGUUGGCCACCCCUGGUCUAACCGUAUGAUUCUACGUGUUGUGAAGAAAGGCCCUGGCUAGCAGGUAGAUGGAAGGCAUGGUGGAGAACAAGAGCAGGAGCUUGCGAGGGGGAGAGAAGAGAACCGGAAGAAGAUGGAGGAGUUAGUUUUGUAUAAGAAGCCCAUCUCGUUCUUGCUGCAUGAUCGCUCAUAUCAGGCUGUGACCUGAUCUACCAGCCUCUGCUUGGCUGGAAGCCACUGGGGAAGUAGCUGCCCUGAGGGCUUGCUGGUGUGAUGCAAUGCCAGGUUUGAGUAAUGUGUUAACACAAAGGCUGCACCAUUACAUGACAUUCGUGAACAAAUGCUCAACACAAGCCGGAGGAGGUUUGCCAAAGAGUCACCAGCUGUUCGAGCUGGUGUCAUGCAAAAUCCAACCCCGAGUGAUUCAGUCCAAAAGCAAAACUACUCGCGCUGAAGGCAGCCAGUGCAGAUCUGUAGAGAAGAGCGUAAAGGAACUGCAGGUUCAGUUGCCUACUGGGCCUGGUAGAACACAGCAAGGAGGUACCAGUAACUGGAAAGGAAAUGCCAGGGCACUACAGAGCAGUGCAGCUCCACUGGGUCUGACCAUUGCUAUCCGAGACUGAUCACUCCCUACACUGCUCACUGCCAAAGGCUCAGGAAAAGCCACUGGUAGAGCUACCCAAUGCCAGCAGGAGAGGAGGCGGGAGAUGUGAUAUCUUUCAUUGGACCAAGCGCUGUUGGGGAGAGAGAGAAGCUUUCGAGCUUACACAGAGCUCUUCUUCAGGUCUGGGAAACUAACUCAGACUGUCACUGCUAGAUACAAGGUGGAAGCGCCAAAGCUGGUGUCUCUCACUUGGUCCAAUAAAAGAUAUUCCCUGACCCACCUGGUCUCUCUCAUAUCCUGGCUACAACAACACUGCAAACAACAACAGCUGCAAAGCUCGGUUAGCUAAGUCCUGCUUGCAGCAACACCACCAUCCCAUCAGCUCUGCUCAUCAGCCUCAAAGCCAUGACGACUAUUUAGGCUUCUCAAAGGCUCAUUCCCCUGGUAGAAUUUAGUCUGUUUCCACUGGCUGAGCAGCAAGGUGACGCUGCCUAAAAUAGGAGACGGACAGUUUGUGCCACCGUGGGUGCAGCAUAGGAGGCUGCAGGAUAGAUGGACGGACAGACGGUUUGUGUUUCUGCUUAACAACAUCCCAAUGAUGGCGCAGAGACCGCGAUCGCCUGGGCAAUAGCAGUGCAGUGGAAUAGCUGAACGGAGAAGAUCCAGAGUUGGGGGAGGGCUCUGAAUGAGAGGGCGGGAGCCCUGCUCAGUCUGUCUAGGAGCUAGAAGCUCAGCAGAUGGAUAAGUCGCAUCCCAGCUCUGAAAGCAAAUUUCAUUGUGGUUUAACGGUAAGAAGAGAUAAAACGUCUGAGCUGGUUUAAUCACAGGUUUCUCCAGGUCAGGGUCGUUUGGCUUCCUUCCUCUGCAAUCUGGAUACAGCUGAUUGUCUCUCCCUAUGGUUUGUAGCUGGCUGUGAGUGGCAGCAGAUGACGGCUGCAGAUGGGAACUGCUCCCCCACUCAGGAGCUCAGACUGGAAACAUCCCUGCUCAAACCAGGUAAAAGCAAAUCCAAGGACAUUUAACAACCACAAUCUCCUGCACUAAUCUCCGUCCAAGGGCAUUCUUACUGGGGAUCAGAACUGCUUCCCUCUCAGCGCUGGGCCGGGGCCAGUACUUAAACACUCCCUGCUCCUUUACACAUGAGCAUCACCAAACAGAAGCAAUAUUGACAGAAAUGUGAAGACAUCCCCAUGGGCUCGCUGUGGGGAGGUCUGGCUGAUCUGUCGAGCUAGGGCCUUUCUGAGCUGUCUGCGGAUCUGAGAAAAGAGUCCAACUCCUGCUCUGUCACAGGACUUCCAAGAAAAGCUGUGAUGUCCACAAGAAGUGAUUUGAUCCUAUCCACUCCCUUGAGCCUACCUGCUGUAGCAGCUUGUGAGGGGAACUGGGGACCGCUCGUGAGGACAGCAGCUGCCUGGCACUCAGCCAGGCUUUCAGACUGUGGGGAGCUGUGAUGAACGUGGGCGUUUUGGGUCACAUUUUUAGUUGAGUGUAUCAGUUUACCUGCUUACAUUGUACGGAGUGUGCAGGGAACGAGGACAGGCAGCCUGUCUGAACUGGGUGCAAAUGCACCCUCAGGAACUGAGUGGAAUCAGUUCCUAUGAAUGGAAGGCCCAGAAGAGACUAUGGGUGCCCCAAGGACUGAACUUUGGCUUUCCGACCCGUCAGCAUUAAAACAGGCUGAGCAUGUGAACGCAGCCUGGCGGAAGCUGGAGAACAAAGGGACGAGAAUCCAGGUAUCUGUGUUAGGAGCUGGGUUCUCAGUUGGAGAGACAAGGAGACAGAUGGAUUUGAGGAGUCUCUGGAGAGUGUCCCACGGUUCUGCUAACACGGGUCACCUCUCUGCUACAAACUACAGCUGACACAAGUUAUGUCAUUGUACAGCUGCUGUCAUUUGUAUAUGGCUCAGGCACAUGCAUACUUGGCUGAAUGUACUCACCAGGUGUGCUUGCAUCAAUAUAAAGCAUGGUGCGUCAUGGGAAGGUA